CUGCGAAUGGCUCAUUACAACAGUUAUAGUUUCUUCGAUUAGUAAGUACAAGGAUAGCUUUGUGAAUGAUAAAGAUAAUACUUGAGACGAUCUUGGAUGUAGAGAUACAUUCAGGCCUUUGCAUCAUUUAAUGGUGUGAAGAGAAAGGAUAUCCAAAGUGAAAGUGGGUAUCAUGACAAUUGUAGAAUAGCAAUAUUUGACAAGUAAUCGAUGAGAAUAUCUGAUCUAUCAACUAGUUGGUAGUAUCGAGGACUACCAAGGUUAUAACGGAUAACGAGGAAUUAGGGUUUGACAUCGGAGAGGGAGCUUUCAAGAUGGCUACCACUUCCAAGGAAGGCAGCAGGCGCGUAAAUUACCCAAUUUCAACAGAUAGAAGAGGUAGUGACGACAAAUAACUCACGACAUGCGUAAGCAUGUCUUGAAGGAAUGAGUAAGAAGCAAAGAGUCUUACGAAAUCAAUUGGAGGGCAAGUCUGGUGCCAGCAGCCGCGGUAAUUCCAGCUCCAAUAGUGUAUAUUAAAGUUGUUGUGAUUAAAACGCUCGUAGUUGAAAAUGAUAUAUAUCCAUCGUUCAAGACAUGAGUAUGACUUGAUUGUAUGAAUGUGUUGAACAACAUAAGUGGAUAUAGUAAGGAAUGAUGCGACAUGAAUGUGUUGUGUUGUUAAUUACUUUGAAAAAAUUAGAGUGCUUAAAGCGAAUCUAUUAAAGAAUAGUGAAGCAUGGGACAAUCAAGCGAAUAGGAGAUCUACGGAUUUCGUAUUAGGAAGAAAGAUUAAGAGGAAUAAUUGGGGUAAUUCAGAAAAUAAUGGGAGAGGUGAAAAUUCAUGAUCGUUAUAAGAUGAACUAGAGCGAAAGCAUUUUACUCAAUUAUGUUCAUUAAUCAAGAACGAAAGUUAGGGGAUCAAAGACGAUCAGAUACCGUC
rnacentral:rRNA from 1 species